CAUUCAGGGUACUAUAAUUUAUCGUGUAUUAUAUGCAUAAAACGCUGAAGUUCGACAAAUGGAGUAUGGCAGUCAAAGUCUUAGCUAUUAUAUCAUGUGGGAAAAUCAGUAAUUGCUGAUGUAUAUCUACUUUGUUAUCAUCUACAGAUAUAUUAUUCGUAGCAAUAUCAGGAUUUAGAGGUGCUACCUACAACGAUGAUGAAGAUAUAGCAGCUAAUGAGAUUCAAUAAAAACAUAUAAGAUAAAUACCUCAGCCAAUUCAACGUCAGGGCCUAUAAUAGGAAGCCCACAC